UCGAACGAAGGCUCCCCUUCGGGGGAUGUCCUUAGUGGCGGACGGGUGAGUAACGCGUGGGAACCUUCCCAGCAGUAUGGAAUAACCACGGGAAACUGUGGCUAAUACCGUAUACGCCCUUCGGGGGAAAGAUUUAUCGCUGUUGGAUGGGCCCGCGUCCGAUUAGCUAGUUGGUGGGGUAACGGCCUACCAAGGCAACGAUCGGUAGCUGGUCUGAGAGGAUGAUCAGCCACACUGGGACUGAGACACGGCCCAGACUCCUACGGGAGGCAGCAGUGGGGAAUAUUGGACAAUGGGGGAAACCCUGAUCCAGCCAUGCCGCGUGAGUGAAGAAGGCCUUAGGGUUGUAAAGCUCUUUCGACGGGGAAGAUGAUGACGGUACCCGUAGAAGAAGCCCCGGCUAACUCCGUGCCAGCAGCCGCGGUAAUACGGAGGGGGCUAGCGUUGUUCGGAAUUACUGGGCGUAAAGCGCACGUAGGCGGCUCUGCAAGUCAGAGGUGAAAUCCCCAGGCUCAACCUGGGAAUUGCCUUUGAUACUGCGGAGCUAGAGGCCGGGAGAGGGUAGUGGAAUUCCCAGUGUAGAGGUGAAAUUCGUAGAUAUUGGGAAGAACACCGGUGGCGAAG
rnacentral:rRNA from 1 species